rnacentral:tRNA from 1 species
GGGGCUGUGGAUCAGAGGUAGAACAUCUGCUUGGAAUGCAGGAAAUCCCAGGUUCAAUACCCAGCAUUUUCA